rnacentral:rRNA from 1 species
UACGUAGGGGGCAAGCGUUGUCCGGAUUUAUUGGGCGUAAAGAGCGUGUAGGCGGCUAGAUAGGUCCGUUGUGAAAACUCGAGGCUCAACCUCGAGACGUCGGUUGAAACCAUCUGGCUAGAGUCCGGAAGAGGAGAGUGGAAUUCCCGGUGUAGCGGUGAAAUGCGUAGAUAUCGGGAAGAACACCAGUGGCGAAAGCGCUCUACUGGGCCAUAACUGACACUGAGGGACGAAAGCUAGGGGAGCGAAAGGG